UCGGCGUGAAGGGUUUCCAGGGUUCGAUCUCUUUCCCCUCGCCCUUCCAGCCCCGCUAGGAUUCUCCCCGCACCCGAUCGCCUCUCCCCAUCUGGACUAGAACAUAGCCGCGCCGCUGACCUGGGACGGGGAGGGGGAGCACCACCGGCCACCGUAACGACCUGCCCGCAGGGAUCUGGCGUCGGCGUAAGUUGUCAUCUCCCCCUCGCGGUUCUUGCAUCGCGCAGCCAGGGGCCACCCCCUGGCGGUCCUGCCCUGCUCCCUCCACCCCAAGCAAUCGGCGACGACUGCCCGCGCGGCCGUGCCGUUGUGUUGCCGGCCGACUAUCCUGCGUCUCCUCUCCCCAAGGCUCCAGCACUCCUUCGCUGACCACCCUGCCUGCCGGGUUGCCGGACAGAAUUUUAUUGAGGCCAGCCACAUCACACAUAGCACGCAGGAGCUGGCCCUAUGUCAUGGCAAAAGGUAUUCAGCCUUGUCAAGGUCCAGUGGUGAUACAUAUGCUUCUCAUGGAGGAGCUGGCCCUAUGUCAUGGCAAAAUGUAUUCAGCCUUGCCAUGGUGAUACAUAUGCUUCUGCAUGCACAAGAGCCGGCCCUAUGCCAUGGCAAAAGGUGAAGGACUUCUCUCUCAUGUCACUAUUCAGAGCAUGGUAAGCAUGGCAUCAAACUCUUCGUAGAGGUUUGCCAACUGUAUGCAGGUGGUGGCGAAGGGGAUCACUUUGUUUCUUGUGGUAGUGACCACUCAUCACCUUCGUCUCAUGUGGACGAAGAGACAGUCGUCAAAGCUUAUUUGAGAUGGGCCCUAGGCUGUCGCACUUCUUGAAAUGCCUGCUGCUUGGUUCGCCCAUGCUGGUGACCUGCAAUGUAAUAUGCCCUUUUAUGCCAUAUACCCGCUGAAUCCAUCCAUGAUGUUUGCCCAUUCUUGUCAAAAGAACAAGAGAUGUAAUAAUACUCCAUUAUUUGAGCCCACUAUGCUAUUGCUAUGUGAUGUGAUUAUCUUUGAUGCCUUAUUCAGUCA